UUAAGCGACUAAGCGUACACGGUGGAUGCCCUGGCAGUCAGAGGCGAUGAAGGACGUGCUAAUCUGCGAUAAGCGUCGGUAAGGUGAUAUGAACCGUUAUAACCGGCGAUUUCCGAAUGGGGAAACCCAGUGUGUUUCGACACACUAUCAUUAACUGAAUCCAUAGGUUAAUGAGGCGAACCGGGGGAACUGAAACAUCUAAGUACCCCGAGGAAAAGAAAUCAACCGAGAUUCCCCCAGUAGCGGCGAGCGAACGGGGAGCAGCCCAGAGCCUGAAUCAGUGUGUGUGUUAGUGGAAGCGUCUGGAAAGGCGCGCGAUACAGGGUGACAGCCCCGUACACAAAAAUGCACAUGCUGUGAGCUCGAUGAGUAGGGCGGGACACGUGGUAUCCUGUCUGAAUAUGGGGGGACCAUCCUCCAAGGCUAAAUACUCCUGACUGACCGAUAGUGAACCAGUACCGUGAGGGAAAGGCGAAAAGAACCCCGGCGAGGGGAGUGAAAAAGAACCUGAAACCGUGUACGUACAAGCAGUGGGAGCACGCUUAGGCGUGUGACUGCGUACCUUUUGUAUAAUGGGUCAGCGACUUAUAUUCUGUAGCAAGGUUAACCGAAUAGGGGAGCCGAAGGGAAACCGAGUCUUAACUGGGCGUUAAGUUGCAGGGUAUAGACCCGAAACCCGGUGAUCUAGCCAUGGGCAGGUUGAAGGUUGGGUAACACUAACUGGAGGACCGAACCGACUAAUGUUGAAAAAUUAGCGGAUGACUUGUGGCUGGGGGUGAAAGGCCAAUCAAACCGGGAGAUAGCUGGUUCUCCCCGAAAGCUAUUUAGGUAGCGCCUCGUGAAUUCAUCUCCGGGGGUAGAGCACUGUUUCGGCAAGGGGGUCAUCCCGACUUACCAACCCGAUGCAAACUGCGAAUACCGGAGAAUGUUAUCACGGGAGACACACGGCGGGUGCUAACGUCCGUCGUGAAGAGGGAAACAACCCAGACCGCCAGCUAAGGUCCCAAAGUCAUGGUUAAGUGGGAAACGAUGUGGGAAGGCCCAGACAGCCAGGAUGUUGGCUUAGAAGCAGCCAUCAUUUAAAGAAAGCGUAAUAGCUCACUGGUCGAGUCGGCCUGCGCGGAAGAUGUAACGGGGCUAAACCAUGCACCGAAGCUGCGGCAGCGACGCUGAUGCGUUGUUGGGUAGGGGAGCGUUCUGUAAGCCUGCGAAGGUGUGCUGUGAGGCAUGCUGGAGGUAUCAGAAGUGCGAAUGCUGACAUAAGUAACGAUAAAGCGGGUGAAAAGCCCGCUCGCCGGAAGACCAAGGGUUCCUGUCCAACGUUAAUCGGGGCAGGGUGAGUCGACCCCUAAGGCGAGGCCGAAAGGCGUAGUCGAUGGGAAACAGGUUAAUAUUCCUGUACUUGGUGUUACUGCGAAGGGGGGACGGAGAAGGCUAUGUUGGCCGGGCGACGGUUGUCCCGGUUUAAGCGUGUAGGCUGGUUUUCCAGGCAAAUCCGGAAAAUCAAGGCUGAGGCGUGAUGACGAGGCACUACGGUGCUGAAGCAACAAAUGCCCUGCUUCCAGGAAAAGCCUCUAAGCAUCAGGUAACAUCAAAUCGUACCCCAAACCGACACAGGUGGUCAGGUAGAGAAUACCAAGGCGCUUGAGAGAACUCGGGUGAAGGAACUAGGCAAAAUGGUGCCGUAACUUCGGGAGAAGGCACGCUGAUAUGUAGGUGAAGUCCCUCGCGGAUGGAGCUGAAAUCAGUCGAAGAUACCAGCUGGCUGCAACUGUUUAUUAAAAACACAGCACUGUGCAAACACGAAAGUGGACGUAUACGGUGUGACGCCUGCCCGGUGCCGGAAGGUUAAUUGAUGGGGUUAGCCGCAAGGCGAAGCUCUUGAUCGAAGCCCCGGUAAACGGCGGCCGUAACUAUAACGGUCCUAAGGUAGCGAAAUUCCUUGUCGGGUAAGUUCCGACCUGCACGAAUGGCGUAAUGAUGGCCAGGCUGUCUCCACCCGAGACUCAGUGAAAUUGAACUCGCUGUGAAGAUGCAGUGUACCCGCGGCAAGACGGAAAGACCCCGUGAACCUUUACUAUAGCUUGACACUGAACAUUGAGCCUUGAUGUGUAGGAUAGGUGGGAGGCUUUGAAGUGUGGACGCCAGUCUGCAUGGAGCCGACCUUGAAAUACCACCCUUUAAUGUUUGAUGUUCUAACGUUGACCCGUAAUCCGGGUUGCGGACAGUGUCUGGUGGGUAGUUUGACUGGGGCGGUCUCCUCCUAAAGAGUAACGGAGGAGCACGAAGGUUGGCUAAUCCUGGUCGGACAUCAGGAGGUUAGUGCAAUGGCAUAAGCCAGCUUGACUGCGAGCGUGACGGCGCGAGCAGGUGCGAAAGCAGGUCAUAGUGAUCCGGUGGUUCUGAAUGGAAGGGCCAUCGCUCAACGGAUAAAAGGUACUCCGGGGAUAACAGGCUGAUACCGCCCAAGAGUUCAUAUCGACGGCGGUGUUUGGCACCUCGAUGUCGGCUCAUCACAUCCUGGGGCUGAAGUAGGUCCCAAGGGUAUGGCUGUUCGCCAUUUAAAGUGGUACGCGAGCUGGGUUUAGAACGUCGUGAGACAGUUCGGUCCCUAUCUGCCGUGGGCGCUGGAGAACUGAGGGGGGCUGCUCCUAGUACGAGAGGACCGGAGUGGACGCAUCACUGGUGUUCGGGUUGUCAUGCCAAUGGCACUGCCCGGUAGCUAAAUGCGGAAGAGAUAAGUGCUGAAAGCAUCUAAGCACGAAACUUGCCCCGAGAUGAGUUCUCCCUGACCCUUUAAGGGUCCUGAAGGAACGUUGAAGACGACGACGUUGAUAGGCCGGGUGUGUAAGCGCAGCGAUGCGUUGAGCUAACCGGUACUAAUGAACCGUGAGGCUUAACCUU
rnacentral:rRNA from 1 species